UAGUCCAUGCCGUCAACUAUGAGAGCUCAUCUUAGAAAAACUGAGAUUUAGUUAACACGUUAAGCUCUUCGCCAGGGAAGUACGAUUGCAAGGUUAAAACUCAAAGGAAUUGACGGGAAUCCAUACAAACGGUGGAGCAUGUGGUUUAAUUCGAUACAACGCGUAAAAUCUUACCAGACUUUGUAUAAAUUUACUAUGAAUUUACAAGAUUGCAUGGCUGUCGUCAGUCCGUGUUGUGAAACGUUUGGUUAAUUCCAGUGAACGGACGCAACUUUUAUGUUUAAAUAUUUUUUAUUAGGCAAAUUGUUAAGAAAUACUUAAAGGAAGGUGAAAAUGACGUCAAGUCAUCAUGGCCCUUACGGGCUGGGCUACACACGUGCUACAAUGGCGACCAUAGUGAGUUAAUCCCAAAAAGUCGUCUCAGUUCGGAUUGUCCUCUGCAACUCGAGGGCAUGAAGUUGGAAUCGCUAGUAAUCGCGGAUCAGCAUGCCGCGGUGAAUACGUUCCCGGGCCUCGCACACACCGCCCG
rnacentral:rRNA from 1 species